ACAGGCCAUCUCCCACUGAAAGGCAGCUGAUUCCUGUGGCCUUUGUGUCAGAGAAGUGGUUUGAGAUCUCCUGCUGACGAGCUGGAGGCACUGCUCAUUCCCAGCGGGUGGAAGAGACUUCGUAAAUUCAUGCUGCGGAUCCAGCUGGAAACAACAACAAAAAACGCUUUUGUACAAAAACAUAAAUAUUAAAUCAAUAUAAUAAUAAUCUGAUCAUCCUCUGGACAGUGGUGAAGAAUAUUUAUUUUUCUAAACGUGACAUGCGGAGCAGCAACAAAGCUGCUGCCUCGCAUUUUCAAGAGCGUCUGGCUGCUUCGACAUUCACGAUUCGUAGGUUACAUGAUGUGUGAAACAAGACUUGGACACAGCGGACGCCUGACUGAAAUGAGAGAAUAUAUUGAACUUCAGACAAAGGAAUCAAAGGACCUGCUGCGGGUGGACAAUGAACUAUAUUUCUGAACAAUGUGCCAAUAAUGCCACUAUGUGCCACAACAUGAACAGAAAGAAGUUUCAGCAACAACUGAUGGACAAACAAAGAGCAGUAUAUUAACCAUGUAUUCACUCCAACUACAAGUUUUUUCUUUGUUUUUAUAAAAAAAAGAAACAAAAGACACAAAAAUACAAAUGUAUUUGAAUAUGUUUUGAAAUAGUUUCAGAAAUGUGUUGAAAAAGAAUCUAAAAGAUAUUUAUAUCAAGCACUGUUCUAUUUGUUGGGGGGAGGGGAGACCGUGGUAAAAGAAUUGAUGUAUGCUUUAUUGAGUGAUUGCGUCGAAAACAUUGUUUCUAUGGAUCCCAUUUUAAAACCAGAAUAGUUGCAUCUAUUUUUCUACAUAGGAAAGUCUGCCACAGCCCAUAUGGUGCCAGCCCAAAGCACUGUUAACACAAUACUCGCGUCCAACCUGAAAUUCCAACAAAGAAUACCAUCUGAAUAUGUGCAGUAGCAGCCAGUCUGCCAGGCCAUUCCAACAGCUCAUUAUAUGAGAUUUGUACCUGACUUGGCUUAAUG